CCUACGGGAGGCAGCAGUAGGGAAUCUUCCACAAUGGGCGAAAGCCUGAUGGAGCAACGCCGCGUGGGUGAAGAAGGUCUUCGGCUCGUAAAACCCUGUUGUUAGAGAAGAAAGUGCGUGAGAGUAACUGUUCACGUUUCGACGGUAUCUAACCAGAAAGCCACGGCUAACUACGUGCCAGCAGCCGCGGUA
rnacentral:rRNA from 1 species